UACGUAGGGGGCAAGCGUUGUCCGGAAUCAUUGGGCGUAAAGCGCGUGUAGGCGGCCAGGUAGGUCUGCUGUGAAAACUCGAGGCUUAACCUCGAGCUGUCGGCGGAAACCAUCUGGCUAGAGUCCGGAAGAGGAGAAUGGAAUUCCCGGUGUAGCGGUGAAAUGCGCAGAUAUCGGGAAGAACACCCGUGGCGAAGGCGGUUCUCUGGGCCUUACCUGACGCUGAGGAGCGAAAGCGUGGGGAGCGAACAGG
rnacentral:rRNA from 1 species